rnacentral:piRNA from 1 species
UGCAGUGGGCUGCAUAGGUACGCUUC